GAUGAACGCUGGCGGCGUGCCUAACACAUGCAAGUCGAGCGAACAGACGAGGAGCUUGCUCCUCUGACGUUAGCGGCGGACGGGCGAGUAAGACGUGGAUCACCUACCUAUAAGACUGGGAUAACAACGUGAAACCGGAGCCAAUACCGGCUAAUACAUUGAACCGCAUGGUUCAAUAGUGAAUGACGCUUUUCCCGUUUCUUAUAGCUGGUUUCGCGCCGCAUUAGCUAGUUGGUAAGGUAACGGCUUACCAAGGCAACGAUGCGUAGCCGACCUGAGAGGGUGAUCAGCCACACUGGAACUGAGACACGGUCCAGACUCCUACGGGAGGCAGCAGUAGGGAAUCUUCCGCAAUGGGCGAAAGCCUGACGGAGCAACGCCGCGUGAGUGAUGAAGGUCUUCGGAUCGUAAAGCUCUGUUAUUAGGGAAGAACAAAUGUGUAAGUAACUAUGCACGUCUUGACGGUACCUAAUCAGAAAGCAACGGCUAACUACGUG
rnacentral:rRNA from 1 species